AGCGAGCGCUGGCGGCAGGCCUAUCACAUGCAAGUCGAACGAAGCCUUCGGGCUUAGUGGCGGACGGGUGAGUAACACGUGGGAACGUACCUUUUGGUUCGGAACAACUCAGGGAAACUUGAGCUAAUACCGGAUGAGCCCUUAGGGGGAAAGAUUUAUCGCCGAAAGAGCGGCCCGCGUUAGAUUAGCUAGUUGGUGAGGUAAAGGCUCACCAAGGCAACGAUCUAUAGCUGGUCUGAGAAGAUGAUCAGCCACACUGGGACUGAGACACGGCCCAGACGCCUACGGGAGGCAGCAGUGGGGAAUCUUGCACGAUGGGCGAAAGCCUGACGCAGCCAUGCCGCGUGAAUGAUGAAGGUCUUAGGAUUGUAAAAUUCUUUUACCAGGGACGAUAAUGACGGUACCUGGAGAAAAAGCCCCGGCUAACUUCGUGCCAGCCGCCGCCGUAAGAC
rnacentral:rRNA from 1 species